AACCUGCUGCUGUUGUGUGCACUUACCUCCUUGUCCCUCUGUGUAUUUACUGACAGAAGACCAGACCCACAAAUGAGGACCGGAGAUAGAGUCCCGACUCCCCACUAUGGCGGACGCUCUCUGGGAACUUGUCAGCGAUCUCCGUGCCGCUCUCUCUCUGGUCACCAACCCUCAGUCUGCCUCUGCCAGUCCCAUGGCCUUUCCAGCUCCUUACUCGGGUGAGGCAGUUGAAUGUAGCAGUUUUCUACUCAAACUCUCUCUCUUCAUUGAGAUUCAGCCCCAAAUAUUCAUCUUGGAGCAGUCAAAGGUGGCCUGUCUGAUCUCCCUUCUCUCUGGAUGGGCUUUGCUCUGGGCCCAAAUGGCCAUCUAUGACAACAUUGUCGGUUUGUAGAACUUCAUGCAAAAGGCCAUAAGGAUUUCUCAGUGCCUCACCACCUGUCAGCCCGACGAAGCCGCUCAUUCACCAGCCUCACCCGCUGCCUGUCCUCCAGUAUCAGAACCAAUGCAAUUAGACGUCAACCAUCUAACAUGCGCAGAUUGUGCUCGACGUCUGGCAUCGGGUCUGUGGCUCUACUGUGAAGCCUCGGGGCACUUCAUUAAGAUGUGCCUUUCUCGUCACCCAUGCCCAGCGUGUCUGCCCUUGUUGACUCAGGCUCCUUGGGAAACUUCAUCUCCCAAGCCCUCCUAAAAUGUCUCGGCCUCCCCCGAAUGAGGCAAGCCCAGGAGCUCAGAAUCGAAUCGAUUCAAGGAAAACCGUUAGGGCGUGGGCGUUUCAACUACCGUGCUCCUCCCAUCUCCCUGCAAGUGAGAUGUUUCCACCAUGAGACAAUUUCCUUUCUGGUACUAGAGGGACCCACCGUGGACCUCAUCCUGGGACGCCCGUUGCUCACAAGCAGCCACCCAUUUACCCCUGCACCAGCCAUGGGACUCUGCCAUUGACCUGCUGCCUGGAGCCACACGACCCAAAGGUCGAGUCUAUCCACUGUCCAUCCCGGAGUGCAAGGCAAUGGAGGAUUAUAUCAAGGAGGCUCUCCAACAACAGUUCAUCCACCCGAGCUU
ensembl:lncRNA